AAUGAGAAAUCCGAGUGAGGAAUAGGGAGAGGAGUAGCUAAGAAUGUACUUUAAAGGGGAGGGGGACAAAGGAGGCACCUUGGCAAUGGAGAUUUGAUUUAGUGUAAGGUUCCCUAAAAUAGGAGAGUUGGUUAGAAAAUGCCACAACAAAAUGUGGCGCCAAAAACUGUAUUUUCCCCUGCAAUUCAAUCGCCUCUAACCUCCAUUUCUGACACACCCUUCAUUCAUUCCAUUCCCAAUUCCCCUCGAUCUAACCCUUCUAACCAUUUCAACAAAAACCAACAUUAUUCCUCUCUCUCGCUCAUUUUCUUCUUUUAUCUCUUCCUUCCCUUCCAUGGCACCCUUAUUUUCUCCAUCCAUCAACCCAUUCUUCUUCUGACAAAGGUAAAGUUGUAAUCAAGCUGGGAAUUCAACGAUUACUGGAUUACGCAAGGGAAUUUGGGCAUUGAUCCGUGCAGGGUCGUUAAUGGCAAUGGGGAGAGGGGAACUCUCACCACAGGACUUCAAAGCCACUAAAAAUAAUUGGAUUCAAUAUACAAAGAAGAACAAUAUACGACUUCCUCAAGGCUCAUAUACUGACUUCGAGUGGAAAGACUAUUGUCCUGCAGUGUUCAGAAACAUACUAGAGCUAGAAAAAAUAGACUAUGCUGACUAUAUGUUGUCUGUUUGUGGUGAUGAGACCCUAAGAGAGGUUUCUUCGCCGGGAAGAAUUGGCAAUGUGAUAUUUCUGUCAAAUGACGACCGAUUCGUGAUUAAAACUCUGCGAAAAUCUGAAGUGAAGGUUCUCAGGGAGAUGCUUCCAAAGUACUAUCGACAUCUUAAAAAACAUGGGUUUUCUUUGUUGACUACGUUAUAUGGACUUCACGUAGUGAGGCCAAUUGGAGGUAUUAAGGUUUAUUUUGCAGUCAUGUCAAAUGUAUUGCAAUCAGAUUUGCACUUGCAUAGGCGAUAUGAUCUCAAAGGGUCGUCAAGAGGUCGAAAUUUCAAUAAAGUGAUAGUCCAUGAGGAGAUAGUAUAUAAGGAUAUAGAUCUUGAUUUCUAUUUUUACCUGGAACCAUCACUCCGUAACAAGAUAUUGUCGCAACUCAAGUAUGAUUGCGAGUUUUUGGAGGCUGAGGGCAUCAUGGACUACAGUCUUUUGCUUGGUGUACAUAUAGAUGCCUCCUCGCGUCAAGGGUUCCAUUCAGGCUUAUUAGACAGGAGAAACUCUGUUUCAGGAACGAGGACCGGUCCAGUUCAUGAUAAUGCAGACUUGACUGUCGCUGACAUUCUUAAACAUAAUGGCAGGUUUGGUGCAAAGCUUCCUGCUAGUGCAGUCAGGACGCCAAGGAACGAAAUGGGGAUUGUUUCAUCACCAAGCAGGGUCAGGGUGCCAGAGUGCUACAAUGUAUUGCUAUACUUUGGAAUAAUAGACAUUUUCCAGAACUAUAAUGUUAUAAAGCGGCUCGAGCAUGCUUACAAAUCGAUACAGUAUGAUUCAAAGUCAAUCUCAGCCGUGAAUCCCAAAGUGUAUUCUUCUCGCUUCCAGGAUUUUCUUGCCAAAGUAUUUCUAGCAAGAGAAUCAAAUAAAAACUGGAAUUUUGAGUAUUGAUCCAUAUCAAGUCAAGUCAACCCAGUGGGGGAGAAAUCAACAAUAAGUUAUGUUUGUUCCUUACCCACAUCAUGAUUUGCAAGUCAUAAUGUAUAGGAAGGCAUCGAGGGUCAGUUAGGAGAAGAGAUUGUUAGCAGAGACAAAUACAUUGCAGCUGAAUAUGAUAAAGUUGGAGCUCCAUUGUUUCAGGAAGACUCAGAGAGGUUGAUGUGAAGAUUGUCAUGAAAGAGGCUUUACGGUUAGCUCUUUUUGGUGGAGGUGCGAUGAUACCGUCACACCAAUGGAUGGAGUCAUGGAGAUGGUAACUUCAUUGGGCAAAGAUUCAAGCUUUGUUUUGGUUACUGGAUAGCAAGUUUUCCUCACUUGAUCUAUUGGCUUGACGAAGAUGAUGCAAAUAUUUUAUUUCUAGCCAACUCUAUUGUAUAUAGAUAGUAGCAUAUGUACCAUGAAAAGAUCUUUUCUAAUAUGAAAAUUAUGAACUCAACAAUUAAAUUUC